UACAGAGGUGGCAAGCGUUGUUCGGAAUUACUGGGCGUAAAGGGCGCGUAGGCGGCCUUCUAAGUCAGACGUGAAAUCCCCCGGCUUAACCUGGGAACUGCGUCUGAUACUGGAGGGCUUGAGUGCGGGAGAGGGAUGUGGAAUUCCAGGUGUAGCGGUGAAAUGCGUAGAUAUCUGGAGGAAUACCAGUGGCGAAGGCGGCCUUCUGGACGGAUACUGACGCUGAGGCGCGAAAGCCAGGGGAGCAAACGGG
rnacentral:rRNA from 1 species